ACGGAGGGUGCAAGCGUUAUCCGGAUUCAUUGGGUUUAAAGGGUCCGUAGGCGGCCUUAUAAGUCAGUGGUGAAAUCCUUCCGCUCAACGGGAGAACUGCCAUUGAUACUGUAAGGCUUGAAUCUAUUUGAAGUGGGCGGAAUACGUCAUGUAGCGGUGAAAUGCAUAGAUAUGACGUAGAACACCGAUUGCGAAGGCAGCUCACUAAGUUAGUAUUGACGCUGAGGGACGAAAGCGUGGGGAGCGAACAGG
rnacentral:rRNA from 1 species